rnacentral:rRNA from 1 species
UGAAUACGAGAUGCUACGGCGUCGAAGCAGUCUAUGUCAUACUUCCAAGAAAAGCUUGCACUGUCAUAAACAAAUAAUGCCUGUACCAUAACCGACACAGGUGGGUAGGUAGAGUAUACUAAGGGGCGCGAGAUAACUCUCUCUAAGGAACUCGGCAAAAUGACUCCGUAACUUCGGGAGAAGGAGUGCCUUAUUUAUAAGGUUGCAAUAACAAGAUCCAAGCAACUGUUUACCAAAAACACAGGUCUCCGCUAAGUCGUAAGACGAUGUAUGGGGGCUGACGCCUGCCCAGUGCCAGAAGGUUAAAGAAGUUGGUUAGCAUCCGCGAAGCUGAUAACUGAAGCCCUGGUGAACGGCGGCCGUAACAAUAACGGUCCUAAGGUAGCGAAAUUCCUUGUCGGGUAAGUUCCGACCCGCACGAAAGGCGUAAUGAUUUGGAUACUGUCUCGGAGAGGGGCUCGGUGAAAUAGACUUGUCUGUGAAGAUGCGGACUACCUGCACCAGGACAGAAAGACCCUAUGAAGCUUUACUGUAACCUGAAAUUGAAAUUGGACUUUACUUGCGCAGUAUAGGUGGGAGGCGUUGAGAAUAUUCUUGCGGGAUUAUUGGAGCCAUCAGUGAGAUACCACUCUUGUAAUGUUAGAUUUCUAACUUUGUAUCAUUAUCUGGUCAAAGAACAGUUUCAGGCGGGCAGUUUGACUGGGGCGGUCGCCUCCUAAACGGUAACGGAGGCGCACAAAGGUUUCCUCUGAACGGGUAGAAAUCGUAUCUAGAGUGUAAAGGCAUAAGGAAGCUUGACUGUGAGACCUACAAGUCGAGCAGGGAAAAGUCGGUCUUAGUGAUCUGACGGUGCUGAGUGGAAAGGCCGUCACUCAACGGAUAAAAGUUACUCUAGGAUAACAGGCUGAUCUCCCCCAAGAGUUCACAUCGACGGGGAGGUUUGGCACCUCGAUGUCGGCUCAUCGCAUCCUGGGGCGGUAGUACGUCCCAAGGGUUGGGCUGUUCGCCCAUGAAAGCGGUACGCGAGCUGGGUUCAGAACGUCGUGAGACGGUUCGGUCCAUAUCCGGUGUAGGCGUUAGAAUAUUGAGAGGAGCCUUCUUUAGUACGAGAGGACCGAGAAGGUCAUACCUCUGGUGUACCAGUUAUCGUGCCAACGGUAAACGCUGGGUAGCUAUGUGUGGAGUGGAUAACCGCUGAAAGCAUCUAAGUGGGAAGCCCACCUCAAGAUAAG